GGGGAAUAUUGGACAAUGGGGGCAACCCUGAUCCAGCAAUACCGCGUGUGUGAAGAAGGCCUUCGGGUUGUAAAGCACUUUAGUGGGGGAGGAAAAGAGCGCUGCGAAGAGCGGAGUUAAUUGACGUUACCCCAAGAAUAAGCACCGGCUAACUCUGUGCCAGCAGCCGCGGUAAUACAGAGGGUGCAAGCGUUAAUCGGAGUGACUGGGCGUAAAGGGCGCGUAGGUGGUUUAUUAAGUUAGGUGUGAAAGACCUGGGCUUAACCUGGGAAGAGCACUUAAUACUGAUAGGCUGGAGUGAGGAAGAGGGGAGUGGAAUUUCCGGUGUAGCGGCGAAAUGCGUAGAUAUCGGAAGGAACACCAAUGGCGAAGGCAACUCUCUGGUCCUUAACUGACACUGAGGCGCGAGAGCGUGGGUAGCAAAC
rnacentral:rRNA from 1 species